rnacentral:tRNA from 1 species
AGACCCAGGAAAAAAUUCAACUCCAAGUUUGCAACUUGGCACUUUCUAGGCC